rnacentral:rRNA from 1 species
UACGUAGGGGGCUAGCGUUGUCCGGAAUCAUUGGGCGUAAAGAGCGUGUAGGCGGCCCGGUAAGUCCGCUGUAAAAGUCAAAGGCUCAACCUUUGAAUGUCAGUGGAUACUGCCGGGCUAGAGUCCGGAAGAGGCGAGUGGAAUUCCUAGUGUAGAGGUGAAAUUCGUAGAUAUUAGGAAGAACACCAGUGGCGAAGGCGGCUCACUGGCUCGGUACUGACGCCGAGGCGCGAAAGCGUGGGGAGCAAACAGG